rnacentral:rRNA from 1 species
UACGAAGGGGGCUAGCGUUGUUCGGAAUUACUGGGCGUAAAGCGCGCGCAGGCGGUUCUUCAAGUCAGAGGUGAAAGCCCAGAGCUCAACUCUGGAAUGGCCUUUGAGACUAGAGAACUUGGGUACGGGAGAGGUGAGUGGAAUUCCGAGUGUAGAGGUGAAAUUCGUAGAUAUUCGGAAGAACACCAGUGGCGAAGGCGGCUCACUGGUCCGGAACUGACGCUGAGGUGCGAAAGCGUGGGGAGCAAACAGG